rnacentral:rRNA from 1 species
GCUGGCGGCAGGCCUAACACAUGCAAGUCGAGCGCGCCUUCGGGCGAGCGGCGGACGGGUUAGUAACGCGUGGGAACGUGCCCAGAUCUACGGAAUAGCCACUGGAAACGGUGAGUAAUACCGUAUACGCCCUUCGGGGGAAAGAUUUAUCGGAUUUGGAUCGGCCCGCGUUAGAUUAGGUAGUUGGUGGGGUAACGGCCUACCAAGCCUACGAUCUAUAGCUGGUUUUAGAGGAUGAUCAGCAACACUGGGACUGAGACACGGCCCAGACUCCUACGGGAGGCAGCAGUGGGGAAUCUUGGACAAUGGGGGCAACCCUGAUCCAGCCAUGCCGCGUGAGUGAAGAAGGCCCUAGGGUCGUAAAACUCUUUCGCCUGUGAUGAUAAUGACAGUAGCAGGUAAAGAAACCCCGGCUAACUCCGUGCCAGCAGCCGCGGUAAUACGGAGGGGGUUAGCGUUGUUCGGAAUUACUGGGCGUAAAGCGCACGUAGGCGGAUUAGAAAGUUAGAGGUGAAAUCCCGGGGCUCAACCCCGGAACUGCCUUUAAAACUACUAGUCUAGAGUUCGAGAGAGGUGAGUGGAAUUCCGAGUGUAGAGGUGAAAUUCGUAGAUAUUCGGAGGAACACCAGUGGCGAAGGCGGCUCACUGGCUCGAUACUGACGCUGAGGUGCGAAAGUGUGGGGAGCAAACAGGAUUAGAUACCCUGGUAGUCCACACCGUAAACGAUGAAUGCCAGUCGUCGGGUAGUAUACUAUUCGGUGACACACCUAACGGAUUAAGCAUUCCGCCUGGGGAGUACGGUC